GUUAGUCCCUCCACCUCUAGCACUCUAGCCACAGAUCUGUGCCCUGAAAUCUGCCUCCCUCUCAGAGACACAGACGUGCGCGCACACACACAAACUCUCACUCACGCACACCCACAUCGCCUCUGCCCCCCACUCUCCCCACCCCCGGCAGAACUGUAGGGACUGGUCCUUGCUCUGCCUCAACUUUCCCUGCUGCGCCUGCCCCACGCGGCACCCGAUCCGCCGCGCCCUCGCUGGGCGCCCUCCAGAGGGACACGUCCUCCUCUGGGCCCCUUACCUCGCACCGACAACUCCGGGCAGGGACUGGAGCUGACCGAGGUGGCGGCGGCGGCGGCGGCUGAGCCUGCACCCGGGCUCGCUCUCAUGGUUGGUGCUCCUCAUCCGACACAAAAGAGGCAAAGCCACUUAGGGCGCGGAAGCAACUUUCCUUCACCUUGGCCAGGCUGAAACCAUCGCAUCUAAUUGGGACUCUCGGCAGAGGCACGGACCUUCUGGCAUUCUCUCCUCAUUCUCUCUUUCUCCUUUUCUCCCUCUCUCGUUCUCCUUUUCCCUUUUCCCCUCCCCCUCCCUCCCUCCCUUUAUAGGGGUGUAUCCGCAGAGUCUUCAGUGAGCCAGGGUACCUAGACGAGAGGAUUAUUAUACAGAAAGGCAGGGCGGUUUUACUGGCUGCUUCGUCUCACUCUGUUGAAAUCCUUAGGCAACGCAUGCAAAGGACCCUUUCCGGUUAAUGCCCUGACUUCUGGUAUAAUGCCUUUUCAUUUUGGCCCAUAAAGCACACCAUCCUUCAUUCAGAAAUAACACCGAGAGUUGAUGUGUUGCCAUCAUUAAUUACAGCAGAAAAAUACAAAAUGCAGGAGGUUCUGUGUUGAUUGGUCUCCCAGAAGGCUGAAAGAAAAGGAGGCUGCACUCCCACAUAUGACAGUGAAGGGAGAAAUUUUUAUUUGGGAAGAAUCUGAAUGUCAACGCACCAGCCUUGAAUAAUACCUAAGGGGAUAGAGAAGAACAAGCCCCACAGGCAAGAUAUGUAGGGGCAAUGGUGAGAAAAGAAUCAAAUUGUUUUUGUGGUGCUUUAUUAGCCUCAUUUAUUAGGUGUAUAAAUGUUCUGAUCAGUACUUUGGAUUCUUUUGCGUUUUUUCCCCUGAUUCUUACAAAGGAAAACAAAAAAGAAUAGCCCUUGGAUAUUUACUAUGUGUUUUGCUUUUGUCCCACAUAUUGUACAAUGAACAGCUG
rnacentral:lncRNA from 1 species